GGUAAAAUUUCUCUUUGCCAAGGAGAAGACGCGGGUUCGAUUCCCGCUAUCCGCUCAAGGUUCAAGAUGAA
rnacentral:tRNA from 2 species